rnacentral:pre_miRNA from 1 species
AUCACCUGGAGAUCUUGCUAAACUGCAGAUUCUGAUUCAGUGGGCCUGGGGUGGAACCCGAGAUUCUGCAUUUCUAACAAGCUACCAGGUGAUCUGAU